rnacentral:rRNA from 1 species
UGCCUACGGGGCGCAGCAGUGAGGAAUAUUGGUCAAUGGACGCAAGUCUGAACCAGCCAUGCCGCGUGCAGGAUGACGGCUCUAUGGGUUGUAAACUGCUUUUGUACGAGGGUAAACCCCGAUACGUGUAUCGGGUUGAAAGUAUCGUACGAAUAAGGAUCGGCUAACUCCGUGCCAGCAGCCGCGGUAAUACGGAGGAUGCGAGCGUUAUCCGGAUUUAUUGGGUUUAAAGGGUGCGUAGGCGGGACGGUAAGUCAGCGGUAAAAAUGCGGAGCUCAACUCCGUCGAGCCGUUGAAACUGCCGU